rnacentral:rRNA from 1 species
GAAUAUUGGACAAUGGGCGCAAGCCUGAUCCAGCCAUGCCGCGUGUGUGAUGAAGGCCUUAGGGUUGUAAAGCACUUUCACCGAUGAAGAUAAUGACGGUAGUCGGAGAAGAAGCCCCGGCUAACUUCGUGCCAGCAGCCGCGGUAAUACGAAGGGGGCUAGCGUUGUUCGGAAUUACUGGGCGUAAAGCGCGCGUAGGCGGAUUGGUCAGUUAGGGGUGAAAUCCCAGGGCUCAACCCUGGAACUGCCUUUAAUACUGCCGGUCUAGAGUAUGGAAGAGGUGAGUGGAAUUCCGAGUGUAAAGGUGAAAUUCGUAGAUAUUCGGAGGAACACCAGUGGCGAAGGCGGCUCACUGGUCCAUUACUGACGCUGAGGUGCGAAAGCGUGGGGAGCAAACAG